CCAAAAAUAGGCCGGGGACACAGCCGCGCUCAAAAAUAACCGCCCGAAGGUCGGGGUGCCAAGUUCGUCUAGCGGAAAAAGGCCAUUAAAACGGGUGGGCUAUAGCCUUGGGGGGUGGGGCUGGCCAAUUUCGUCCACCGGACUCGGAAUGGCGCGAGACUUUCCGAGGCUCCUCCAUGCAUCAAAAAUAUGCCGCGGGCACAGCCGCGCCAAAAAAUAACCGCCCGAAGGCCGGGGCGCCAAGUUCGUCCAGCGGAAAAAGGCCACAAAAACGGGUGGGCUAUAGCAUUGGGGGGUGGGGCUGGCCGAUUUCGUCCGCCGGACUCGGAAUGCCGCGAGACUUUGCGAGGGGCCUCCGUGUGCCAAAAAUAGGCUACGGGCAAAGCCGCGCCCAAAAAUAACUGCCCGAAGGCCGGGACGCCUAGUUCGUCCAGCGGAAAAAGGCCACAAAAAUGGGUGGGCUAUAGCCUUGAGGGGUGGGGCUGGCCAACUUCGUCCGCCGGACUCGGAAUGGCGUGAGACUUUGUGAGGCGCCUCCGUGUGACAAAAAUAGGCUGUGGGACAGCCGCGCUAAAAAAUAACCACCCGAAGGCCGGGGCGCGAAGUUCGUCCAGCGGAAAAACGCCACAAAAACGGGUGGGCUAUAGCCUUGGGGGGUGGGGCUGGCCAACUUCGUCCGCCGGACUCGGAAUGGCGGGAGACUUUGCGAGGCAUCUCCAUGUCCCAAAAAUAGGCUACGGGCACAGCCGCGCCCAAAAAUAACCGCCAGAAGGCCGGGGCGCCAAGUUCGUCCAGCGGAAAAAGGCCACAAAAACGGGUGGGCUAUAGCCCUGGGGGGUGGGGCUGGCCAACUUCGUCCGCCGGACUCGGAAUGGCGCGAGACUUUGCGAGUCGCCUCUGUGUGCCAAAAAUAGGCCGCGGGCACAGCCACGCCCAAAAAUAACCGCCUGAAGGCCGGGGCGCCAAGUUCGUCCAGCGGAAAACGGCCACAAAAACGGGUGCGCUAUAGCCUUGGGGGUUGGGGCGGGCCAACUUCGUCCGCCGGACUAGGAAUGGCGCGAGACUUUGUGAGCCACCUCCGUGUGCCAAAAAUAGGCCACGGACACAGCUACACUAAAAAAUAACCGCCCGAAGGCCGGGGCGCCAAGUUCGUCCCGCGGAAAAAGGCCACAAAAACGGGUGGGCUAUAGCCUUGGGGGCUGGGGAUGGCCCACUUCAUCCGCCGGACUCGGAAUGGUGUGAGACUUUGCGAGGCGCCUCCGUGUGCCAAAAAUAGGCCGCGGGCACAGCCGCGCCCAAAAAUAACCUCCCGAAGGCCGGGGCGCCAAGUUCGUCCAGCGGAAAAAGGCCACAAAAACGGGUGGGCUAUAACCUUGGGGGGUGGGGCUGGCCAACUUCGUCCUCCGGACUCGGAAUGCCGCAAGACUUUGCGAGGGGCCUCCGUGUGCCAAAAAUAGGCUGCGGGCAAAGCCGCGCCCAAAAAUAAACGCCCGAAGGCCGGGGCGCCAAGUUCGUCCAGCGGAAAAAGGCCACAAAAACGGGUGGGCAUAGCCUUCGGGGGUGGGGCUGGCCAACUUCGUCCGCCGUACUCGGAAUGCCGCGAGACUUUGCGAGGGGACUCUGUGUGACAAAA
rnacentral:lncRNA from 1 species